rnacentral:rRNA from 1 species
GAUCGCAGCCUGCAACCCGGCUGCGUGAAGCUGGAAUCGCUAGUAAUCGCGGAUCAGAAUGCCGCGGUGAAUACGUUCCCGGGUCUUGUACACACCGCCCGUCACACCAUGGGAGCCGGAAACGCCCGAAGCCAGCGGCCCAACCGCGAGGAGGGAGCUGUCGAAGGCGGGUCCGGUGACCGGGGUGAAGUCGUAACAAGGUACC